GGCCCCUCCCGCUCCUGCCUUGAGCGUGCUGGCAGGGCCGGGAUCCGUGUGGGUGGCAUGAGGUGGGAGCGAACCACAUCCUGCACGCCGCCGUGCUUGCCACGGGGCGCUUCGGUAAAAAUGUGGCCAUCAGGGCGAGGGAGGUGAUCCUGGCCCUCUGCUCAGCCCUAGUGAGGCCACAUUGGGAGUGCUGGGUCCAGUUCUGGGUUCAUCAGGACCAGAGCUGGAAAGGGUGCGGUGGGAGGCCGCAGAGGUGAUGAGGGGACUGGAGCAUCUCUCUUAUGCGGAGCGACUGCAGGAGUGGGGCCUUUUCUAUCUAAAGACACAGAGCGUGUCUCAUAAAUUUGCAUAAACGUCUCCAAGGCAGGUGCCAAAAGGAUGGUUCCCGGCUAUUUUCCAUAGUGCCCAGGGGCAGGACAAGGAGCAAUGGCCAUGAAUUAAAUCAUGAGAAAUUUCACCGUAGCAUGAGGAAGAACUUUAGAUUGAGGACAGCAGGGCACUGAAGAGGCUGCCUGGGGAGGGUGCAGAGUCUCCCUCUCUGUAGACAUUCGAAUCCUUCCUGGAUGCGUUCCUGUGUAAACGGCUCUAGCUCACCCUGCCUCGGCAGCAGGGUCGGACCGGAUGAUCUCCAGAGGUCCCAUCCAAUCCGAACAAUUCUGUGAUUGAGACUAGCGGUAGCUCCUCUGGAAGCCCUUGACUGUUUCCUGCAUUGGGUGCAGACCCUUUAUAUCAAGAGCCCCUCUCAGUGAAACAGGGACAGCCCCCUUGGGCUCAGCGUUGCUGGGAUCCCUUCCGAGGAGGCUGAGAGAACUGCGGGAGCAGCCCCAGUCCUCAGCUGGUCCCACAGGCUCGGGCCACUGCUUGGCCAGCCCAGCUCCCCCCAGCCCUUGAGGAGAAGUGGUGUUCAUUCCCAGCAGGGACAGAGACAUUGCCUCCCACACCCAGCAAGGCCUGUGAACUUACACUGUCAUUGCGAAGGAUACAAGGAAGUAAUUUAGCUUUCAUCUUGGGUCUGUGUGGUUAAGUGAGUAAGUCUUGAAACAUCACACUGUCUAGGAUGUCUGGAUGUGUUGGCCCGAACUUUCUAGCUGGUUUUCUGACUGGCAUUGAAGCCUAGGGAGUAUAUGCUGGAAAACAAACUUCACAGUUGUUGUCUGCAGAUUGUUACCUCUUACCUUGGGUACUGUAGUGACCUUUAACUGGAAAAAAACAUGGAUGUUUAAAAAGUUCACAGUGGCUUCAAAACACAUCAAAACAUUUGAGGCAGGACAUUUGGAAAAAUAUCCUCAGCCUGUCAUGAGUCAUAAAUAAUAACAUGAAACACUACUUCCAAUUACUUACUUCUUUGAUCAGCCAUCUAAAGGAGAUAAAAGUUCCUACUGGAAAAGUGUGAGCCCAAAUGAGAAUUACCCAUAACAUAUGUAUUGGUUGGGAUUACAGUUACAUAAAAGUCAACAUGUAUGUAUUCUUGAGUUAUUUAGUAUAAUUUCAUACUUUGUCAUCUUUUCUCUUAAAAUAAUUAUGUAUGUGUGUAUUAGCAUAUAAAUUAAAAGUUUUUCCACCCUUUGCAGGUUGACAGUCUCAACUUAGUCCAUGACAAUGCUGGUAUUUAGUGUUUUCCGUCCUUAUUUCUCAGAUUGUUUGAAAAAACUGACAAGGUGCCAUUGAGAUUGCAGAAAGAAGAUAAAUACACGAUGUCUUCAUUAAGUUCACAGUUUUGUACCUGUGAGUUACUGAGUCGCUGUAGUCAAGCAUUCUGCCUUGGUGUUACAAUUCUCUUUUUAUGUGUCACCCGCUGUCCUCCUCGUAUUUUUAUUACCUGUGUACUUAGAGGAUUUGAGCCUGCACAGAGCAAGCCCUAGGGAGCUAAAAGUUGCAAGCAUAACAAUUCAUUUGGUAGCACCAAGAAUGUCGCGUAGUCAGUGGCACUUUGCAUCUGUGAUAGGAAUCAUUACUGAGGUAGGGAGCAAAUUUGGUAGCAGAGUCUCAAUUUUCUGUGUUCCCUUCCUACUGUCCCCUUCAGCUGGUGGAAGGUCAUGUGGAAGGUGUGACAGGGAAUGGUUGGGUGUGGAAGAGUGUUUGACAUUCCUGUUGUCAAAGCACCGCAUUCCCUUGUGUUUGUGCUCCUUUAUUUCCUGGGAAGCCAGAGUACCUCCAGCACUGCCCCAUGCUGGGACUUGCAGGUUCUACACUGGUAAUAACGUGCAACGAAGCAGACAGUUUGUGUCCCUUAGCUUUUGUGGUAGAUAACCUAAUAAUUUACUAAGCACAAUGCCAGGCCUGAUUCUAAACUGAUCAUGUCUUGAAUUUCAGCAACUGGUAAAAUAUUUUCAUUGUAUUACAGAUACAUAGAUAGCCCUGUUAUCAGGCUGGAGAAUGGGAAUCCGAUGCCUUUUUGCAGCUUUUAGCAUCUGCGUCGUCUCUUGCAAGCACAGUACUGUAAGGCUGGAAUGCCCAGCUCUGGAUUAGAAACUUAAUACCUGUCAGGAGCGGCGCACCAAUAAAUAUUUCAGCUGUUAAAUCUGGAACAGACUCAGCAGAAAUCAUGGAAAAUAGCAGCAAUGUUUUAGGCCUAGGAAGGCUUAGAUCCAGAUUUAAAGACGUGUCUUGGUGCUUUAAAGGAAGCAUUAGUUACGCACUUAUGCUUGGAUUUACCUCCCACCUCUGUUUUUUUUAUAUGUAAAAUUGUGAGAACAUGCUGACGCAUGGCAUUUGUAUUUCAGUGUGAAUGCAUUUCAUCAGCUUUUACUAUUAAGAUUCUUAUUGUGUAAAAAGUUAGAUGCAGAAAAAAGGUCAUUUUUGUGUGGUUUUCCUUUCCAAAUUCAACAUCCCUCAAUGCUUGCACUGAGGACACUUGGCUGAAGAACAGCUCGCAACCAUGGACUGGCAGAAGUGAUGUUUGUAAUGCAAGGAAUAUAUCCAGAAUGCCACACUGCCAUGCCGGUAGCACGAGCUCAGCACACGGCUCCCUGUUGCACUGUGAAUCACUGACUUGUGUGACCUGCCUUCAACAAGAAAACACUCUGAGUGCCUCUACUCAGAGAAUAAAGAGAAAAGCUGCUGGAAAUUCAUUACUUAUGCUUAGAUGCUUCCGCCUUUUCCAGAUACUUCUUCAUGUUGAAACACCUUGAUGAUUUUGAAAGAAACUAUUUACAUUCCAAUGAAUAAACAUCUUAGUAUUAACCUAAUUUAAUUUUUAUGGUGUAUAAUGGAUCAUGGCAUAUAAAAAACUUUUUAAAAAUCUGUCUUUCACAUCUGAGUAUAACUGUAGACUCAGAAUUUCUUCAGGUUUAUCUCCAUGACUAAUAUUUAUAAAGAACAGUUUCACAGUAGAAUAGUCAGUUGCUUUUCAUACCUGAAGCAUCCCUGGAAGAUAACAAAUGGAUCUGAAUCCAGUUUGUAUAUUGUAAUGUUUUUUAAAUUCCCUCUUCACUUUCAAAUCAUAGGGAGAUUGUUCUCUUCUGUGUCAGGAAUGAGUGGGAGGUUAUGUUUUGUUAAUGCCAAAAAGUGAUCAUUCCUAGACACCAACCAGUCAAGCCCAACCCAAGGAUGAGUGCCAUCUAAUUUCUUGUAUUAUUGUUUGUGUGUAUUUUCUCUUAUCAUCACUGUUCUUGUUGAAGUCUCAGCUUGUUAAGUUCUGUCUGCACUGAUGUAUAAGAAGGUAUUAAUGCUACUCUGAGAAGCCUACAUUAUAAGAGAAAAAAACUAGAAUCUACCAUCAUCUGUCUUUAUUUUUUUGUUUGUUGUUGGGUAGUCUUUUAAUCCAAUCUUUUUUUAUCAAAAUCUUGCAGGUGGUACAUGCCAGAUGGACUUUUUGCAGAUUAAAUGAAGGAUCAUUUGUCAAGCAGCUGUAUCAGGAAGGAUUUUUCAUGUGUGGGUGAAUGUGCAAGGAAAGGCAUGACAACACUUGUGUCCCUAUUCCUGUAAUUCACUGGUGGCUCAAGUUUAGUGGAUUCAGAGGGCAUUUUAUAGCUUUCUUAGCUAAUGUUGCAAUUAAAAAUCAAAAUAUCUAAAGUC